rnacentral:rRNA from 1 species
UAGAUACCCUAUUAUUUCGGAUUUAAAAUUUAAAGCUUGAGUAGUAUUAGGUAUGGUCUUGAAACUUAAAGAAUUUGGCGGCAUUUUAGUCUAGUUAGAGGAAUCUGUCCCAUUAUCGAUAAUCCACGUUGAACCUUACUUAAUAUAAUUUAAUAUGUAUACCGCCGUUUGUUAUGAAGAUCUUUUUAGAGAUAAUUUUCUUAAAAUUCUAAUUAAUUUUAUUUCAGGUCAAGGUGCAGUUUAUAAUUAAGUGGUGAUGGAUUACAUUAUUUAUAAAAUAAAUGGAUUAAAGUUUGAAAUUAUUUUAUGAAGGUGGAUUUAAUAGUAAUUAAUAAUAAGAAUUAUUUUUAUGAUUUUGGCUCUAAAAUGUGUACACAUCGCCCGUCACUCUCGUUAUUAAGAUGAGAUAAGUC